rnacentral:rRNA from 1 species
UGGAUUAGGCAUGCAAGUCGAACGAAUGCUGUCUACUGUAGCAAUACAGUGGGCAGAGGAAGUGGCGAAAGGGGCAGUAAUGUAUAGGUAACCUACCCCGGGGAUGGGCAUAGCCGGCCUAACGGCCGGGUAAUACCCAGCGAUUUGGCGAGGAGGCAUCUUUUUGCCAAGAAAUGAGUUUCGCCUCGGGAGGGGCUUAUAUCGUAUUAGCUAGUUGGUGAGGUAACGGCUCACCAAGGCUGAGAUGCGUAGCGGGUGUGAGAGCACGACCCGCGCCACUGGCACUGAGACACUGGCCAGACACCUACGGGUGGCUGCAGUCGAGGAUCUUCGUCAAUGGGGGAAACCCUGAACGAGCGAUGCCGCGUGAGCGAUGAAGGCCUUCGGGUUGUAAAGCUCAAAAGUGAAGAGAAAGGGAAACUUGAUCGAUUCACAGUAAGCUCGGGCUAAGUUCGUGCCAGCAGCCGCGGUA